AUGGAGAGCAACAAGGUGGUNNNNNNNNNNNNNNNNNNNNNGUAUGUAAAGUGCGGCUUUGCGGGAGAAAACUUCCCUACAUCUGUCUUUCCUUGUGUCGUUGGAAGGCCAUUGCUUCGCUAUGAGGAGUCACUCCAGGAGCAAGAAUUGACAGAUAUUGUGGUUGGAGCUGCUUGCGCUGAUUUGAGACAUCAGCUUGAUGUAUCAUAUCCUGUCACAAAUGGGAUUGUUCAAAAUUGGGAUGAUAUGGGCCAUAUAUGGGAUCAUGCAUUUUAUAGCGAGCUGAAGGUUGAUCCAUCCGAGUGUAAAAUUUUACUGACAGAUCCGCCACUCAAUCCUGUGAAAAACCGUGAGCAAAUGAUCGAGACAAUGUUUGAGAAAUACAACUUUUCUGGGGUCUUCAUCCAGAUCCAAGCAGUUCUUUCGCUAUAUGCUCAAGGCUUGCUGACUGGACUUGUCAUAGAUUCUGGUGAUGGUGUCACCCAUGUGGUGCCCGUGGUUGAUGGAUAUUCUUAUCCACAUCUAACGAAAAGAAUGAAUGUAGCUGGAAGGCAUAUCACAUCCUAUCUUGUUGAUCUACUCUCAAGAAGAGGGUAUGCUAUGAAUAAAUCUGCUGAUUUUGAGACAGUAAGAGAAAUAAAAGAGAAGCUAUGCUAUAUAAGCUAUGACUACAAACGUGAAUACCAGCUAGGACUUGAAACCACAAUUCUUGUUAAAAGUUACACUCUUCCAGAUGGAAGAGUAAUUAAGGUGGGCACUGAACGGUUUCAGGCUCCUGAGGCUCUUUUUACUCCUGAACUCAUAGAUGUUGAAGGUGAUGGGUUGGCAGAUAUGGCAUUCCAUUGCAUUCAGGAAAUGGACAUUGACAACCGCAUGACGCUUUACCAACAUAUCGUCCUUAGUGGAGGAAGUACCAUGUAUCCUGGUCUGCCAAGUCGGCUGGAGAAGGAAAUUCUUGAUCGCUACCUUGACGUGGUUUUGAAGGGAAACAAGGAUGGACUUAAGAAAUUACGUCUGCGUAUAGAGGAUCCUCCACGGAGAAAGCAUAUGGUCUAUCUAGGAGGUGCAGUACUUGCUGGAAUUAUGAAGGAUGCGCCGGAAUUCUGGAUCACAAAGCAAGAGUAUCAGGAAGAAGGUGUUGCUUGUCUAAGGAAGUGUGGACAAGCAUAG
rnacentral:rRNA from 1 species